rnacentral:rRNA from 1 species
AGUGAACGCUGGCGGUAGGCCUAACACAUGCAAGUCGAACGGCAGCACAGUAAGAGCUUGCUCUUACGGGUGGCGAGUGGCGGACGGGUGAGGAAUACAUCGGAAUCUACUUUUUCGUGGGGGAUAACGUAGGGAAACUUACGCUAAUACCGCAUACGACCUACGGGUGAAAGCAGUGGAUCUUCGGACCUUGCGCGAUUGAAUGAGCCGAUGUCGGAUUAGCUAGUUGGCGGGGUAAAGGCCCACCAAGGCGACGAUCCGUAGCUGGUCUGAGAGGAUGAUCAGCCACACUGGAACUGAGACACAGUCCAGACUCCUACGGGAGGCAGCAGUGGGGAAUAUUGGACAAUGGGCGCAAGCCUGAUCCAGCCAUACCGCGUGGGUGAAGAAGGCCUUCGGGUUGUAAAGCCCUUUUGUUGGGAAAGAAAAGCAGCAGGUUAAUACCCCGCUGUUCUGACGGUACCCAAAGAAUAAGCACCGGCUAACUUCGUG